AUUGAACGCUGGCGGCAUGCCUUACACAUGCAAGUCGAACGGUAACAGGUCUUCGGAUGCUGACGAGUGGCGAACGGGUGAGUAAUACAUCGGAACGUGCCUAGUAGUGGGGGAUAACUACUCGAAAGGGUGGCUAAUACCGCAUGAGAUCUACGGAUGAAAUCAGUGGAUCGCAAGACCUUGUGCUACUAGAGCGGCCGAUGGCAGAUUAGGUAGUUGGUGGUAUAAAAGCUUACCAAGCCGACGAUCUGUAGCUGGUCUGAGAGGACGAUAAGCCACACUGGGACUGAGACACGGCCCAGACUCCUACGGGAGGCAGCAGUGGGGAAUUUUGGAAAAUGGGCGCAAGCCUGAUCCAGCAAUGCCGCGUGCAGGAUGAAGGCCUUCGGGUUGUAAACUGCUUUUGUACGGAACGAAAAGCCCUGGGUUAAUACCCUGGGGUCAUGACGGUACCGUAAGAAUAAGCACCGGCUAACUACGUGCCAGCAGCCGCCGUAA
rnacentral:rRNA from 1 species